CCCUCCAAACCCUAACUCAAUUCACCCACACCAUUCAUCUUCUCCAAACGAUUACCGACACAGCACCGUCUUCUUCUUCGCCGCACCGUCUCCUAAGGUGAGGUCUCGUCACCGUUGGCGUCGUCUGAGUUCGCAGAUCGUUUCAUCGCCGUCCAAAUCUGACUUUUUCAUUGUCAUGCCAUUCUUUCCUCACCGUCGCCUCCUCUGGUCGUGCCGCCUCCUCUGCUCACUCCACUGCUGCAGAUCGUCACCUUGCCGUCCAGAUCGGCUGUUGCUCCUUGUCGCGCAGUUCAUUUCUCACCGCCACCUCCUCUGGUAACUUCUUCUCCGGCAACAACAACAGUCUCUCCGGUGUAGACGAAACAGAACGUGAUGUGUGUCUGAAAGCAGUGGGUGAUUUAAUGCAUGAAGGUUUGGUCCGAAUUCAUAGAUACAAUACCAUAAUGUUAAUGCCAGGAUCGUAUAGAUGAUGCUGUUGAAGGUGAAUCCUGCCAAUGAGAGAAUGCUUGGAGGAGGUGGAGCUGACGGAGCUAUACAUAGAGCUGCAGGCCCAGAUCUUCUUCAAGCUUGCCUCAAGGUUCCAGAAGUCAGGCCUGGAAUCCACUGCCCAACAGGGGAAGCAAGGAUCACGCCAGGUUUCAAGCUCCCAGCUUCUCAUGUUAUUCAUAACGUUGGACCAAUUUACCAUGCAGAUAAUAAUCCAGCUGCCUCUCUGGCAAAUGCGUACAUAAAUAGCUUGAAGGUUGCAAAAGAGAACAGCAUUCAGUAUAUAGCAUUCCCAGCCAUAUCAUGUGGUGCCUAUGGUCUACAUUGCUACAUUCGCAGCCUAAGUCAACAGUUGGAACACCAGCAUAUAUUGCUCCAGAGGUUUUGUCUCGAAAGGAGUAUGAUGAAGAUUGCAGAUGUUUGGUCAUGUGGGGUGACUCUGUAUGUAAUGUUAGUUGGAGCAUACCCAUUUGAAGAUCUAGAAGAUCCUAAAGACUUCAGAAAGACUAUUGGGUUCAGAGAAUAAUGAGCGUGCAGUAUUCUAUACCUGAUUAUGUGCGUCUUCCUUCAGAGUGUAGGCAUCUUCUCACUCGCAUUUUUGUUGCCAAUCCAGCCAAGAGGAUUACUAUUUCGGAGAUAAAACAGCACACAUGAUUCUUGAAGAACUUCCCUAGAGAAAUAAUUGAGGCUGAUAGAAAAAUCAAUGAAGAAAGUGGGGGCAAAACACCCAAUUAAGUCAAAGGGAAGCAAAAUAUUACGUGAAUUAGCCAAGUGGAAAAUUGCUUCAUUAAUCAACCAAAUAAUAUCUCUGUAAUUUGAAUGAGCUAAAUUCGAACUAUAUUUGUAUAUAAUUCGAAUCUACUCAAUUCGAAUUAUACAAGAACAUAAAUACACACUAAUUCAAAUCUAUAUAAUUCCAAUUAUAAACAAGCAUAAUCGAACUAGGUUAGUUCGAAUUACACAUGUGCACGCUUCCCCAAAUAAUUUGAACCUAGUUGAUUCAAAUUACUUCCAUUUUGUAUCUAGUAGUAAUUCGAAUGGGGUUUAUUCGAAUUACCUUGAAUCCGGCUAUAUAAGGAGUUCGAAUCCUCCUCACUCGAAUCACUUUUCCAUUCUCAUCCCCACUAAA